rnacentral:lncRNA from 1 species
UUAUUCCUCCUCCGCAACACUUGUGCCGAAUCACCAACCUCUCUAGCGCAAGUAUCAAAAGACUUGAUGAUUUGUACCCGAAAUUACAAAUUCGAAGCUUUAGUUAUUUUUUUAAAAAAAAACAGAUGAGCAAAGCAAAUAGCAUAAUACCUAUCUCUCAAAAAAAAAAAAAGUGAGCCGAAUCGGUUAUCUUCCUUUAAUCUAAUCGCAAUUCACUAAACAUAAACUUAAUAAAAGUAUUUCCUGACUAAAUUGGACUGAAUUUAAUAAAUGAAUUUGAUCUGUUUUAAUCAAAACUGUAUAUACCAAUAUAUAACUUUGGGCCAAGUAGGACUUGGAACGAGCUCCAAUAAGAAGUAAAAAAAAAGAAAAAGAAAAAAGAGGCUAAGCAUUGUUGGCCCCAAGUACGGAUGUCGAUUGGGUACGGAUAUUCAAAUUUUAUUCAAAUCCGAAUCCGAAUGGUGCAGAUUUAUUUAAUACUAAAUGAAUAUGAUUUCGGAUAUGAAUAUCAAAAACAAAAAAAUCCGGCAGAUAUGGAUUCGAAUAUGAAUUUUGAUUGUACCCGACCCGCACCCAAACCCGAAUUUAUUUUACAUUAUAUAUAAUAUGUAUAUAAAAAUAUGAUGUUAUAUGUGAAUUUGUAUAUUAAAAAUUCAGAUUUAAUGUAAAAUAUUUUAAAAUAUUGAAAAGUGAAAUAAUUAUUUCGGGUUAGGAUUUUCGGAUUCAGGUUUCGAAUUUUGGUCGGGUUCGGGUUUGAUACGAAUUUUUAAAAUCCGUCGGGUACGGAUUCGGGUUCAGAUUUGAGUUUUUGAAAAUUCACCCCGAACCCAGCCCGUUGACAUCCCUAGUGCCAAGGAAUCAUUUUGGCAAGUGAUUGAGGGCCCUUUCGGAUUCGGGGAAGACCACCUUUCGGUUUGUGGGAUUCUAACUCAAGCACAAUAGCCUACACACAUGUAGGGUAGUGAAGACGCAUUUUGACCGGGCCCUCUCAAGUUUUGGAGCUCCACCUGAUCCGGACCAUCUUUUUGUGGUUGCCUCCUUUUUCUUUUUCUUUUUCUUUUUCCCUUUUUU